UCUGAAUGAGCUGGGGGGAGCGGGCACAGGGGGCACAGCUGGGGGUGGGAGGGGGCAGAACAUCCUUACAGAAGAACAAAAAUCCUGGCGGAGCAUCCCAUAAAAUUAGGAGCAGACGUGUCAUGGUGACAGAUAAACAGCCUCUUCUGUUACCUCGGCAGCACUUGGCUCUGAUUGGUGGAUUGGUAAAGCAGUACAGAGGCAAACUGUAUUGGAGGCGUGGCCACAGAUAAUUGGCAUUUAGGAGGUGUGGUUACAGGCAGAUUGAUUUGGGAUGUGGUCAGAGGUGAACAGCAGUUAGGAGGUGUGGCUACAAGCAAAUUGAUUUGGGGUGUGGUCAGAGGUGAACAGCAGUUAGGAGGUGUGGCUACAAGCAAAUUGAUUUGGGGUGUGGUCAGAGGUGAACAGCAGUUAGGAGGUGUGGCUACAAGCAAAUUGAUUUGGGGUGUGGUCAGAGGUGAACAGCAGUUAGGAGGUGUGGCUACAAGCAAAUUGAUUUGGGGUGUGGUCAGAGGUGAACAGCAGUUAGGAGGUGUGGCUACAAGCAAAUUGAUUUGGG